UGUGACUGUAUCAGUACAAGAAAAACAUCUGUCAACAGCAGGAAGAUGGCUCUCAUCGAUACGCAAAGCCUGUUUUGUUUAAUUCUUCAAAGCUUUUAUCGGAAUACAACAGACUCAAUUCUUUCUCAACAGAAUCUCCCCACCCAAAUUUUCUUUUACAACUGAUAUCAUAUUGUUCUCGGAAUAUACAGCACACAUAAUUUUGUAGGUUAUAGUCCCUA